CUACAUAAAUACUACAAUACUACUACAACAUGGAGCAAUACUUCAUAGUACAGGGAGGAGGUGAGCUAUAUUACUGUACUACAUAAAUACUACAAUACUACUACAACACGGAGAAAUACUUCAUAGUACAGGGAGGAGGUGAGCUAUAUUACUGUACUACAUAAAUACUACAAUACUACUACAACACGGAGCAAUACUUCAUAGUACAGGGAGGAGGUGAGCUAUAUUACUGUACUACAUAAAUACUACAAUACUACUACAACAUGGAGCAAUACUUCAUAGUACAGGGAGGAGGUGAGUUCUAUUACUGUACUACAUAAAUACUACUACAACAUGGAGAAAUACUUCAUAGUACAGGGAGGAGGUGAGUUCUAUUACUGUACUACAUAAAUACUACUACAACAUGGAGAAAUACUUCAUAGUACAGGGAGGAGGUGAGCUAUAUUACUGUACUACAUAAAUACUACAAUACUACUACAACAUGGAGCAAUACUUCAUAGUACAGGGAGGAGGUGAGUUCUAUUACUGUACUACAUAAAUACUACUACAACAUGGAGAAAUACUUCAUAGUACAGGGAGGAGGUGAGCUAUAUUACUGUACUACAUAAAUACUGCAAUACUACUACAACACGGAGCAAUACUUCAUAGUACAGGGAGGAGGUGAGCUAUAUUACUGUACUACAUAAAUACUACAAUACUACUACAACAUGGAGCAAUACUUCAUAGUACAGGGAGGAGGUGAGCUAUAUUACUGUACUACAUAAAUACUACAAUACUACUACAACAUGGAGCAAUACUUCAUAGUACAGGGAGGAGGUGAGCUAUAUUACUGUACUACAUAAAUACUACAAUACUACUACAACAUGGAGCAAUACUUCAUAGUACAGGGAGGAGGUGAGUUCUAUUACUGUACUACAUAAAUACUACUACAACAUGGAGAAAUACUUCAUAGUACAGGGAGGAGGUGAGUUCUAUUACUGUACUACAUAAAUACUACAAUACUACUACAACAUGGAGCAAUACUUCAUAGUACAGGGAGGAGGUGAGCUAUAUUACUGUACUACAUAAAAACAAU